UCCACUCCGGAAACGCAGCCUCCCCGGCUGCGGCGCAGGGCCCCCGGACCCUGCGGAACCUGGGCUGAAGCGAAAAAGCCAGCGGAAGGAACCCGGGAAAAAACAAGAAACCCAUUCCAUCCUCCUUUCCAGGCCUUCGCCCGCCCGAGACCCGCCGUCUCCCGGAGUUCUCGGGGAUAACGGGCUCAGCUGCGAAGUUCUUCCUUGAGCAUCUGAAUUUGGUUGUGGUCAGAUGGUGGAUAAAGCUGGACUUAUCUGAAUCUUCUUUCGUCACAUGUCUGGAGUGUCUGGAGUGGCUGGAAAACAGCUUCCUCACAAGUUGGCCAAGUGGCUGGAAGUCCACCUACAAUGGGCAUGCCGUCCUGGAACAUCUCUCUUCUCUAUCUUGGAUUCGGUUCUAUGAUGAAGAAAAUGAGGCAGGGAGAGGAGCAGACUGAUUCUCAAUGCUGUGCUCCCCUCCUCAGGGAAGAGCUGGGGAACCCAUGUGGGGAUAGGAAAGAGUCCCCCUAUGUUAUUGGGGACAGAAUUGUGCCCAGACAAGAAAAUGAUGUUUCCCAGCCUCCCCUGCAGCUGAGUGGGGACAACCAUUGAGAUGCCGUUGCAGGGCUCCGCUUUGGAGCGGGCAUUGGAGGAAUUCUUUGACCACCAAGCAGCCUCCAUACCUCCCUCCUACAUAACAGAGCCACCGAGAGGCUGUUUGCAUUCUGCCUGCUUUCUCUUUUUCCGUUGCAGUAGUUUAUUAAUUAGUGUGCAAAAAAUAAAAAGGAGGUAAUAACCUUAUUUAUGUGCUAGU
rnacentral:lncRNA from 10 species